rnacentral:rRNA from 1 species
CCCUUAGAUGUUCUGGGCCGCACGCGCGCUACACUGAUGAAUUCAACGAGCACUAACCUGUGCAGAAAUGUUCGGGUAAUCUUGUGAAAUUUCAUCGUGAUGGGGAUUGAUUAUUGCAAUUAUUAAUCAUAAACGAGGAAUGCCUAGUAAGCGUGAGUCAUCAGCUCACGUUGAUUACGUCCCUGCCCUUUGUACACACCGCCCGUCGCUCCUACCGAUUGAAUGUGCUGGUGAAAAGUUCGGAUUGGGAAUAGGAGACGGCAACGUAUCCUGUUUCUGAGAAAAUCUUUAAACCCUCCCAUUGAGAGGAAGGAGAAGUCGUAACA